UACAGAGGGUGCGAGCGUUAAUCGGAAUUACUGGGCGUAAAGCGUGCGUAGACGGCUAUCUAAGUCGGGUGUGAAAGCCCCGGGCUCAACCUGGGAAUUGCAUUCGAGACUGAAUAGCUAGGGUACGGUAGAGGGAAGUGGAAUUUCCGGUGUAGCGGUGAAAUGCGUAGAUAUCGGAAGGAACAUCAGUGGCGAAAGCGACUUCCUGGAUCAGUACCGACGUUCAGGCACGAAAGCGUGGGGAGCAAACAGG
rnacentral:rRNA from 1 species